rnacentral:pre_miRNA from 1 species
CCGUGACUUGUGGGCUUCCCUUUGUCAUCCUUUGCCUAGGCCUUUGAGUGGGGCAGGGACAGCAAAGGGGGGGCUCAGUGGUCACCUCU